UAGACGCAGUGACGCCGGCGGCAGUGGCGCGCCGCGGGCCGAGAAUGAUACACGUCCGCACUCCGCCUCGCGACUCCAGCGGCGCUCCGGCUCCGACCCGCGAUCGAUAACACAAACCCUAAACCAAACACCACAACAAAAGCCAAAUCACUAUAACUCACAUCAACAAAAUUUAAAUUAUCAUGUCAAACCUCUUUAUGUAACCACAUCCCAGUAUCGAUGGAAUCGCGAUCGCGUGGCACACCGGUGUCAACAAUGUAGUCAUAGUGACGCGCCCUGUUGACAGCUUGACAGUUUAAUGUGAACUUAUACAAUGCUGUUGAUAUUAUUAAAUGUUUAAACAUUGUGUUGGUUGUUGUAUUGUUAUUAUAACGACAAUAAUUUUGAUGGUUAAUUAAGGAUUUAUUCAAGACGCAAGCAUGGGGAAUGGUAUGAAUAAGGUGCUGCCGGGGCUGUACGUGGGCAACUACCGCGACUCUAAGGACCCCGUGCAGCUGGACAAAUACAAGAUCACGCAUAUCCUCUCCAUCCACGAUGCGGCCAGGCGGUUGCACUCUGAUAAACACUACCUGUGCAUCAUGGCCUCUGACUCCCCAGACCAGAACCUCACGCAAUACUUCAGUUUAUGCAACGACUUCAUACACGCCGCCAGACUCAGAGACGGAAAUGUGCUUAUACAUUGCCUAGCGGGCAUGUCACGCAGCGUGACGGUAGCAGUGGCAUAUAUAAUGUCGGUGACCCCGCUGACGUGGCGGGAAGCGCUGAAGGUGGUGCGCGCGGGCCGCGCCGUCGCCAACCCCAACCUGGGGUUCCAGAGGCAACUGCAGGAGUUUGAGACUUACAAGCUUGUUGAGGAGAGGAGACGACUGAAGGAGCGGUACCCGUCCCUGGCGCUGGCAGACCGCGACCUGGUGGACUGCAGAGCCGCGCUGGACUCCUACCAGACCAUGCUGAACCAGAAGACCAUCUGCGAGGGGAAAUGCUCCAUGGGCCGGCAGUGUCCUACAGGAGUAUGCAGAACGGGCUCCAAGCGCCAGCCCCGCCCGCGGCGACCGUCCACCACGUCCGGUAGCGGCGACAGCGCCACCACCGGCCUGAAACGGUCACCUUCCACUCUGUCCACCACCUCCACCGCCUCCGGGUACCGUCCCCGGUCCUCGCCCGCGGGGCUCUACAGUUACACUGGUGCCCCAUCCCGACCGACUAGAUCAGCAUCAGGGAUCAGCAUAACACGCGUGACGGACGCCGUGGGCGGCGGGACGGCGAUGGCGGUGGGUGGCACCGAGUACUCUCGAAGGAGGGCCGCCUCCGCCCCCGCCACCCCCGCAGCGAUGUCUCCCGCUUCAUCCCCGCCUGGCUCCCCACAUAGAGGAGCCCAGCAUAGGGGCGGCUGCGCGUGGGUGAUUCCCACAGUGAACUGGGACCCAGAUUCCAUGUAGCAUCACCAAAACAUGCACAGGAGCACUUAUCACCCGCACGCCAUCUUGGAAAAGAUAUUAUAGGAGGCCUUCACAAGAUCUUUACUGGAGAUAUGAGGACAUGCGAUGUAACGUCCUUUCUGAACUUACUACAUUCCAACACAGUCCCGGGCGCUCCAACGAUGU
rnacentral:misc_RNA from 1 species